GGCGCGUCCCGCGCUCUAGCCCAGGUGGGUCCCACAACGGUGUGACCAAGGAUGUCCUAUGACCACCCCUUUACAGCUUAAACCAGGUCCCCUGGAGGAGACGUACAUUGCCACGAUCCUGCGGGAGAUUCUGAAGGGCCUGGAUUAUCUGCACUCCGAACGCAAGAUCCACCGAGACAUCAAAGCUGCCAACGUGCUACUCUCGGAGCAGGGGGACGUGAAGCUGGCGGACUUUGGGGUAGCAGGGCAGCUCACAGACACGCAGAUUAAGAGGAACACAUUCGUGGGCACCCCCUUCUGGAUGGCGCCUGAGGUCAUCAAGCAGUCGGCCUACGACUUCAAGGCUGACAUCUGGUCCCUGGGGAUCACGGCCAUUGAGCUGGCCAAGGGGGAGCCUCCAAACUCUGACCUCCACCCCAUGCGCGUCCUGUUCCUGAUUCCCAAGAACAGCCCACCCACGCUGGAGGGCCAGCACAGCAAGCCCUUCAAGGAGUUCGUGGAGGCCUGCCUCAACAAAGACCCCCGAUUCCGGCCCACGGCCAAGGAGCUCCUGAAGCACAAGUUCAUCACCCGCUACACCAAGAAGACCUCCUUCCUCACGGAGCUCAUCGACCGCUAUAAGCGCUGGAAGUCAGAGGGGCAUG
rnacentral:sRNA from 1 species